UAUAUCAGUUACCUGAACGCUUCACUUAGACCUCUAUAUAAGGAAAACAUAAACUCCUCUGAUAUCAGCUGGAACUACAGCAAAAACACAGACGGGUCUUACAGAGUCACAUCGUACCUUCACCUGUCUUCAAACAUAAGAGUGUACUACUGCUGGGUGAAUCACUCAACUCUGAGCCAACCCAUCAUUGUUAACAUUUCCUCCACUGAGUGCACUGAGAGAGAAGAGAAAUUAACUGGAUUAGUUGUGCGUUUUUGGGUUGUUGGAAUCCUCUUCGGCUUAUUGAUUGGCAUUGCUUUGUUCAGCAAACUUUACUAUCAACAUCUCACUUCACACCAUCUCUGGUCUACUGCUGAUGCUAUUGUUAUAUCGGAACCUGUCUCAUUCUCUCCGGUUUAGUCUAUCAACAAGAUGAGCUGAAGCAAACACAUUCACUAAAAUAAAGAGCUUUUCACUACUUUGGAAGUGUCAUUACUAUCAUUUAUCAGCUCAGGAUAUUACUCCUUUCUGCCAGCAGACGUCACACAUUCUAGUGCAAUCUCUGCAGCCAUUUCCAGGUCACUGGAAACUCUUGCCAAAUUGAGAUUGUGUAAAUUAUGAGCCUUGUAUUUCUGCUGACUGUCUAUGCUGUAUUUGUUUGGUCUUUGAAUGACCCUUUACCCUGUUUAUACUGUGUCUGCUUUUUCCUGUUUGUGAUUUGACUGUUUAUCUACUCUGGGUUUGGUUUGAUUUCAAGUUUAUAUGACUUGACUUCAUAAUAAAGUGCAUCUGCACAUGUUAGAAGCACCCAAUCUGCAAUCCUGUCAUUAACUAUCUGUCCGU